rnacentral:rRNA from 1 species
UACGUAGGGACCAAGCGUUGUUCGGAUUUACUGGGCGUAAAGGGCGCGUAGGCGGCGCGGUAAGUCACUUGUGAAAUCUCUGAGCUUAACUCGGAAACUGCCGUUGAUACUAUCUGUCUUGAAUAUCGUGGAGGUAAGCGGAAUAUGUCAUGUAGCGGUGAAAUGCUUAGAUAUGACAUAGAACACCCAUUGCGAAGGCAGCUUACUACACGAUCAUUGACGCUGAGGCACGAAAGCGUGGGGAGCAAACAGG